rnacentral:rRNA from 1 species
UCGAGAAUUUUUCACAAUGGGCGAAAGCCUGAUGGAGCGACGCCGCGUGGGGGAUGAAUGGCUUCGGCCCGUAAACCCCUGUCAUUCGGGAGCAAUGCAACGGGAUGAAUAAUUUCGUUGUUGAUAGUACCGGAAGAGGAAGGGACGGCUAACUCUGUGCCAGCAGCCGCGGUAAUACAGAGGUCCCAAGCGUUGUUCGGAUUCACUGGGCGUAAAGGGUGCGUAGGUGGCCGGGAAAGUCUGAUGUGAAAGCUCGGAGCUUAACUCCGAAAUGGCAUUGGAAACUAUUCGGCUAGAGGUUGGGAGGGGGAACUGGAAUUCUCGGUGUAGCAGUGAAAUGCGUAGAUAUCGAGAGGAACACCAGUGGCGAAGGCGAGUUCCUGGACCAAUCCUGACACUGAGGCACGAAAGCCAGGGGAGCAAACGGG